rnacentral:rRNA from 1 species
GACGAACGCUGGCGGCGUGCUUAACACAUGCAAGUCGAACGACGUGGCGAACUUGUGAGUCAUACGUGGGUAACCUGCCCUCCUUUUUGGUAUAAGCCUUGGAUAUGGGGUCUAAUACUGAAUAAAGGGGGUUGGUCUCGCGGCCUAUCAGCGUGUUGGUGGGGUGAGGGCCUACCAUGGCGGUGACGGGUAGCCGGCCUGGGAGGGGGACCGGCCACAUGGGGACGGAGAUAGGGGCCAGACACCUACGGGAGGCAGCAGUGGGGGGUAGUGGACAAGGGGCGAGAGCAUGAUGCAGAGAGGCCGCGUGGGGGAUGAAGGCUUUCGGGUUGUAAUCCUCGGACGGUAAAGAACGGGUAGGUGGAGAAGAAGCGCCGGCUAACUACGUGCCAGCAGCCGCGGUAAUAC